rnacentral:rRNA from 1 species
GACAGAGGGUGCAAGCGUUGUUCGGAAUCAUUGGGCGUAAAGGGCGCGUAGGCGGUUUUGUAAGUCGGAUGUGAAAGCCCAGGGCUUAACCUUGGAAGUGCAUCCGAAACUGCAUAACUGGAGUCUCGGAGAGGGUGGUGGAAUUCCCAGUGUAGAGGUGAAAUUCGUAGAUAUUGGGAAGAACACCGGUGGCGAAGGCGGCGACCUGGUCCUUGACUGACGCUGAGGCGCGAAAGCGUGGGGAGCAAACAGG